UGUAAAGUUCUUUUAUUAAAGAAGAAAAAAUGAUGGAAAAAUCAUUCUGACGGUAUUUAAUGAAUAAGCCCCGGCUAACUAUGUGCCAGCAGCUGCGGUAAUACAUGGGGGGCAAGCGUUAUCCGGAUUUAUUGGGCGUAAAGGGUGUGUAGGCGGUUUAAUAAGUCUAUGGUAUAAGUUCAACGCUUAACGUUGUGAUGCUAUGGAAACUGUUUGACUAGAGUUGGAUAGAGGCAAGUGGAAUUCCAUGUGUAGCGGUAAAAUGCGUAAAUAUAUGGAGGAACACCAGUAGCGAAGGCGGCUUGCUGGGUCUUAACUGACGCUGAGGCACGAAAGCGUGGGGAGCAAACAGGAUUAGAUACCCUGGUAGUCCACGCCGUAAACGAUGAGUACUAAGUGUUGGGUUAAACCAGUGCUGAAGUUAACACAUUAAGUACUCCGCCUGAGUAGUACGUACGCAAGUAUGAAACUUAAAGGAAUUGACGGGACUCCGCACAAGCGGUGGAUCAUGUUGUUUAAUUCGAAGAUACACGAAAAACCUUACCAGGUCUUGACAUACUCUGCAAAGCUAUAGAAAUAUAGUGGAGGUUAUCAGGGAUACAGGUGGUGCAUGGUUGUCGUCAGCUCGUGUCGUGAGAUGUUGGGUUAAGUCCCGCAACGAGCGCAACCCUUAUCGCUAGUUACCAUCAUUUAGUUGGGCACUUUAGUGAGACUGCCAAUGAUAAAUUGGAGGAAGGUGGGGAUUACGUCAAAUCAUCAUGCCCCUUAUGACCUGGGCUACAAACGGAUCAA
rnacentral:rRNA from 1 species